rnacentral:rRNA from 1 species
AAAUUGAAGAGUUUGAUCAUGGCUCAGAUUGAACGCUGGCGGCAGGCCUAACACAUGCAAGUCGAACGGUAACAGGAAACAGCUUGCUGCUUUGCUGACGAGUGGCGGACGGGUGAGUAAUGUCUGGGAAACUGCCUGAUGGAGGGGGAUAACUACUGGAAACGGUGGCUAAUACCGCAUAAUGUCGCAAGACCAAAGAGGGGGACCUUCGGGCCUCUUGCCAUCAGAUGUGCCCAGAUGGGAUUAGCUGGUUGGUGAGGUAACGGCUCACCAAGGCGACGAUCCCUAGCUGGUCUGAGAGGAUGACCAGCCACACUGGAACUGAGACACGGUCCAGACUCCUACGGGAGGCAGCAGUGGGGAAUAUUGCACAAUGGGCGCAAGCCUGAUGCAGCCAUGCCGCGUGUAUGAAGAAGGCCUUCGGGUUGUAAAGUACUUUCAGCGGGGAGGAAGGUGUUGCGGUUAAUAACCGCAGCAAUUGACGUUACCCGCAGAAGAAGCACCGGCUAACUCCGUGCCAGCAGCCGCGGUAAUACGGAGGGUGCAAGCGUUAAUCGGAAUUACUGGGCGUAAAGCGCACGCAGGCGGUCUGUCAAGUCGGAUGUGAAAUCCCCGGGCUCAACCUGGGAACUGCAUUCGAAACUGGCAGGCUUGAGUCUUGUAGAGGGGGGUAGAA